rnacentral:misc_RNA from 1 species
GAUGAAGAACGCAGCGAAAUGCGAUACGUAAUGUGAAUUGCAGAAUUCAGUGAAUCAUCGAGUCUUUGAACGCACAUUGCGCCCCCUGGUAUUCCGGGGGGCAUGCCUGUCCGAGCGUCAUUACGCCCCUCAAGUCCCCUGUGGACUUGGUGUUGGGGAUCGGCGAGGCUGGUUUUCCAGCACAGCCGUCCCUUAAAUUAAUUGGCGGUCUCGCCGUGGCCCUCCUCUGCGCAGUAGUAAAACACUCGCAACAGGAGCCCGGCGCGGUCCACUGCCGUAAAACCCCCCAACUUUUUAUAGUUGACCUCGAAUCAGGUAGGACUACCCGCUGAACUUAAGCAUAUCAAUAAGCGGAGGA